CAGGGAGACAACACAAUGAUUUUGAUGCCUGAGUGCUUUUAUUCUUAGGCCGAAAUCCUGUCACCUUAGGUCGAUCGGUACCUCAGCUUUGAAGUCAAGGAUCAGCAGCAAUGUUGAUUGCUUGAUGGAGAUUUUCAGUUCCUAAACUUUGUCUAGGUCACACCCCAAAAGGGAUGAGACUCCUGGGCCAUUAGCUCAGGUGGUUAGAGCGCACCCCUGAUAAGGGUGAGGUCCCUGGUUCAAGUCCAGGAUGGCCCAUUCGGUGUUGGGGGUUUAGCUCAGUUGGUAGAGCGCCUGCUUUGCAAGCAGGAUGUCAGGAGUUCGAGUCUCCUAACCUCCACUGACCGAACUUGAUUCCCAUCUCCAAUUUUUUGGAGUUGAGCUCGAAUGGAGUGUGAUUUAGAUGUGUCCGCUGGAUGACCCCAGCUUCCUGUCAUUCCAAGUUUUAGGUUGAUGCCUUGAAUUUGGUUGAUAAGAUGCUGGGGCUCAGAUCAAAUGAUCAAGCAAUUGAUGAUUUGAUUUGAAGUUCUAGCAGAACCUUGACAACUGCAUAGGUGAGUCUGGGAAAAACAAAGCAUCUUACAGAUGCAUUGUUUUGAAUCUGAUCUUCUGAAAGGGAGAUUGGAUCUAGAACAAUGAAAAUUCUUUUGAGCAAGAGCCGAGGCUCUUGAGCGUCUUUUGAUUUGGUGGUCGAGCCAAUCACAGUUUGGAUCUUGGUUUUUUAGUAUAAAAAACUUGAGAAUCUGCUUUCUACGCCGGUAGCCGUUCAGGAGGGUUAUAUUG
rnacentral:tRNA from 1 species